rnacentral:lncRNA from 1 species
AGGCUAGCAAGGUAAAUGCUACCUAGGCCUUAAUAUUUUACUUACCUCCUAACAACCCUUAGAUUAAGAAGAGAAAAAGAUGGCAACAGUCCAGGACAAGUUAGUCUGAGCGAGGUGUGGAAAUCAUCUUCAUUGGUGACAGAAGCCCAGGAGGCUGUUAGGAGCCUAAUACAGACAAUGGCCAAGAACAAACUAAAAGGGCAGAAGUCCAGGAAUGUAUUUCAUAUAGCCAGCCACAAACCUUUGAAGGCUAAAAACAAGGCAAAACCAGUUACUACUAAUCUUAAGAAGAUAAACAUUAUGAAUCAUGAAAA